rnacentral:piRNA from 1 species
CUGCAUCCUUUAGUAUGCAAUUAGGUCC